rnacentral:rRNA from 1 species
AUACGGAGGGGGCUAGCGUUGUUCGGAAUUACUGGGCGUAAAGGGCGUGUAGGCGGCUUCGCCAGUCAGGCGUGAAAGCCCCGGGCUUAACCUGGGAAUUGCGCUUGAUACUGCGAGGCUAGAGUUCGGGAGAGGAGAGCGGAAUUCCCAGUGUAGAGGUGAAAUUCGUAGAUAUUAGGAGGAACACCAGUGGCGAAGGCGGCUCACUGGCUCGAUACUGACGCUGAGGUACGAAAGUGUGGGGAGCAAACAGGAUUAGAAACCCCGGUAGUCC